rnacentral:rRNA from 1 species
UUGCAGGCUGCAACCCGCCUGCAUGAAGUUGGAAUCGCUAGUAAUCGCGGAUCAGCAUGCCGCGGUGAAUACGUUCCCGGGCCUUGUACACACCGCCCGUCACACCAUGAGAGUCGGGAACACCCGAAGUCCGUAGCCUAACCGCAAGGGGGGCGCGGCCGAAGGUGGGUUCGAUAAUUGGGGUGAAGUCGUAACAAGGUAAC